rnacentral:rRNA from 1 species
AGAGUUUGAUCAUGGCUCAGGACGAACGCUGGCGGCGUGCCUAAUACAUGCAAGUCGAGCGAAUCAAUAGGAGCUUGCUCCUGUUGGUUAGCGGCGGACGGGUGAGUAACACGUGGGCAACCUGCCUGUAAGACUGGGAUAACUUCGGGAAACCGGAGCUAAUACCGGAUAAUCCUUUUCCUCUCAUGAGGAAAAGCUGAAAGACGGUUUCGGCUGUCACUUACAGAUGGGCCCGCGGCGCAUUAGCUAGUUGGUGAGGUAACGGCUCACCAAGGCGACGAUGCGUAGCCGACCUGAGAGGGUGAUCGGCCACACUGGGACUGAGACACGGCCCAGACUCCUACGGGAGGCAGCAGUAGGGAAUCUUCCGCAAUGGACGAAAGUCUGACGGAGCAACGCCGCGUGAGCGAUGAAGGCCUUCGGGUCGUAAAGCUCUGUUGUUAGGGAAGAACAAGUAUCGGAGUAACUGCCGGUACCUUGACGGUACCUAACCAGAAAGCCACGGCUAACUACGUGCCAGCAGCCGCGGUAAUACGUAGGUGGCAAGCGUUGUCCGGAAUUAUUGGGCGUAAAGCGCGCGCAGGCGGUCCUUUAAGUCUGAUGUGAAAGCCCACGGCUCAACCGUGGAGGGUCAUUGGAAACUGGGGGACUUGAGUGCAGAAGAGGAAAGCGGAAUUCCACGUGUAGCGGUGAAAUGCGUAGAGAUGUGGAGGAACACCAGUGGCGAAGGCGGCUUUCUGGUCUGUAACUGACGCUGAGGCGCGAAAGCGUGGGGAGCAAACAGGAUUAGAUACCCUCGUAGUCC